rnacentral:rRNA from 1 species
AAGCCUGAUCCAGCAAUGCCGCGUGUGUGAAGAAGGCCUUCGGGUUGUAAAGCACUUUUGUCCGGAAAGAAAUCCUUGGUUCUAAUACAGCCGGGGGAUGACGGUACCGGAAGAAUAAGCACCGGCUAACUACGUGCCAGCAGCCGCGGUAAUACGUAGGGUGCGAGCGUUAAUCGGAAUUACUGGGCGUAAAGCGUGCGCAGGCGGUUUGCUAAGACCGAUGUGAAAUCCCCGGGCUCAACCUGGGAACUGCAUUGGUGACUGGCAGGCUAGAGUAUGGCAAAGGGGGGUAGAAUUCCACGUGUAGCAGUGAAAAUGCGUAAAGAUGUGGAGGAAUACCGAUGGCGAAGGCAGCCCCCUGGGCCAAUACUGACGCUCAUG